GACGAACGCUGGCGGCGUGCCUAACACAUGCAAGUAGGACGCAGUUGCGAACGGGUGAUUAACGCGUAGGUAACUGCCUAUUAGAGGGGGAUAACUAUUGGAAACGAAGAAUAAUACCCUAUGCUCUAAGAUGGACUUGCGUCGGAUUAGUUAGUUGGUGGGGUCACGGCCCACCAAGACAGCGAUCAGUAGCCGGCUUGAGGGGGGUGACGGCCACACUGGGACUUGGGCACGGCCCAGAAUCCCACGGGGGGCAGCAGUAGGGAAACUGCGGCAAUGGGGGGAACCCUGACCGAGCAACGCCGCGUGAGUGAAGAAGGGUUUCGGAUCGUAAAGCUCUGUUGUUAAGGAAGCGGUACUUAACCAGGAAGGGACGGCUAACUACGUGCCAGCAGCCGCGGUAAUAC
rnacentral:rRNA from 1 species